AAGAAAGCAACGAAAAUUACCGGUUAGCGGUUAGCAAAAUUUGUUCAUCGGUUAGCGACCUUGUUCAUCUAUCGCACGCUUGAGAACAGCACAAUAACAGUGCGCAAGCGCCCCGUCACGUGGUAUUUUUUCAUAUUUCGCAGGCUUUCUUUGGAACGCGGAAAAAAGGACCACGUGAGAUAUAUCGUGUUGGAAACAAUUUAUUGAGAAGUUUCUCAAGGUGCUCUACAACUUUGCGUAUCACACUUGGGGUCUGCAGCCAAUACUUAAAAAGUUGAUUACCUAAACAUAACUAAUCCGUUAGUUAAGGGCAAAAAAUAAAAUGAAGUUGCCUGAGUAACUUUAGGCCAGUGUCAACAUUCGGUUCAACUCGCGUCUGGAGUGCCUUUCCUUUUUAAAACGUUGGCUCAAGUUAUGUGGGACAACCGCUAUAUAAUAAAUUAAACCUAAAUCGACGAAUACUGCCACCCUUGAAGCGCCAUGUACUGCACAUGGGCAAGGCUAAAUGUGCCGUGUCGUAUUGCGGUAGUAGCUGAUAAUACACAUGACGAGUGUGUUAUCAUCUCACUUGCUUGGCGCGGAACCAUCAGGAAUUUGUAAGAAGUCCCAUUUGAAAGUGAGAGAUCAUACUGCUUAGUGGUAUCGGCCAUACAUUUACAAUUCAAAGGACUAUCCAGAUGCACAUGACGACAUUCACAUCCUACCAGUCUUUGCAGGCUGGAAGAGCAUUUUCUGCACUUCAUAGAGCCAAGCGCCAUUCAUUAUCUACGCGUCUACAAAAACCUGGCCGGAACGCUGGAAAAACAUCACGAGACAUACAAGCGCGGGAUGGGGUUGCCAACCGGUUACUAAAGAGCCCGACCAGAGUCGGUCUCUCACAAUGGCGGCCGAGAAUCGUCGUCGCCUCUAACUGAAGCAGAAGGUUGCCGGCCACAUGGCAGUCCGCUACACCCAAGAAGUAAACUUAAGAGGUGUGCUUAAUGUUCAGACAUUUCCCAACAGACGCUUGGUACCCAAGGUGGCAGUAAUUGCAGAGGACUGCAGGUGUCUCAGCAUGGACGACGCGUCCGCUCUGGCAGUCGUGUAGUAUCGUGGAACUUCGUCUGCGGACUCUUGCAAGGCAUCGCUACUCUUCCCGAGCAUGGACUGCUACCCGAGGCUGGCGAACUUCUGCGCCCGAAGGCGGAGUGCAAGCAGUCGGGCUACGGGCCCGAGCUUGCGUCCAGCUGCCCGACCAGAAAGCCGCCUCCAUCUGCCCGUGCUGCCAAGCCGCCUGCGUUCCAUCUCCAAGACGGAGCUGCCACGCUCUGUUCUCUGGCUCAUUGCUCAACUACAUCGACACUGUGGUGAGACCAACGCCAUUUCUUUCGCCGCCUCGUCUCCGCGCCUGCGCGUCGAACUGUUGCGUGCGCUCACACUCAUAGUCAGCCCCUAACUCAAGUGCCGUUGGUACUUUCAUAGCUCUUAGUGUAUGUUAGUUCUUGUUGAGAAUGUUUCAUUGAGUGUUCAUUUUAUGUGUUUCUCUCCAUACUAGUUGC